CAGUCGCCACGGGAAUACGGAGGGGGCUAGCGUUGCUCGGAAUCACUGGGCGUAAAGGGUGCGUAGGCGGGUCUUUAAGUCAGGGGUGAAAUCCUGGAGCUCAACUCCAGAACUGCCUUUGAUACUGAAGAUCUUGAGUUCGGGAGAGGUGAGUGGAACUGCGAGUGUAGAGGUGAAAUUCGUAGAUAUUCGCAAGAACACCAGUGGCGAAGGCGGCUCACUGGCCCGAUACUGACGCCGAGGCACGAAAGCGUGGGGAGCAAACAGGAUUAGAUACCCGCGUAGUCCCUGUCUCUUAUAC
rnacentral:rRNA from 1 species